GCUAACUACGUGCCAGCAGCCGCGGUAAUACGUAGGGUGCAAGCGUUAAUCGGAAUUACUGGGCGUAAAGGGUGCGCAGGCGGUUCUGUAAGUCAGAUGUGAAAUCCCCGGGCUUAACCUGGGAACUGCGUUUGAAACUGCAGAGCUAGAGUGCGGCAGAGGGAGGUGGAAUUCCAUGUGUAGCAGUGAAAUGCGUAGAGAUAUGGAAGAACAUCGAUGGCGAAGGCAACCUCCUGGGCUAGCACUGACGCUCAUGCACGAAAGCGUGGGGAGCAAACAGGAUUAGAUACCCCGGUAGUC
rnacentral:rRNA from 1 species